rnacentral:antisense_RNA from 1 species
CUCAAUGGUGGCUGUGUGCAUGGCACCUUCGGGUGCGCCGGAUUCCGAGAGCUUACCGGUCUGCUACUUGCGCACAGCCGCCACCCUU